UUUUAUGGAGAGUUUGAUCCUGGCUCAGGAUGAACGCUGGCGGCGUGCCUAAUACAUGCAAGUCGAGCGAACGGACGAGAAGCUUGCUUCUCUGAUGUUAGCGGCGGACGGGUGAGUAACACGUGGAUAACCUACCUAUAAGACUGGGAUAACUUCGGGAAACCGGAGCUAAUACCGGAUAAUAUUUUGAACU
rnacentral:rRNA from 1 species